ACCUUCCGGUUACAGGUGCGCUUCCCAACCCCCCUGAGCCACGGUCGCCCAGGUUUAGAGACUUUUCCUGAAUAAACUGUGUCAGUCCUGAAAUCUGACUCCAGCUGUUUCCUCCUGAGAGCCGUCUCAGCGAGCUGCUGCAUUAAAUCUGCUGCAGACCUGCUGUAAUAUUCCCGAUCGUUCAAACAUGCUGCGAUGCGUUCGUCCAUUAGUUAAUGGAGCGGAAACAGCAGAGAGGAAGCUGUAAUCUGAUCUUCUUCUCACUCCGAUUCAUGGUCUUCACAGCCGGCCUGCCUCCUUCCUCUCGUGUCCUAUUUGUCAUGGAGAUUAUCUCUGAUGAGAUCUUAUUAGCCUCCCUCCCUUUCUUUCUGUCUCAUUCACAGCUUUUCCGUCUCUUGUAACGCUCAUUCUGCCUCAUCACGGAUCGUUCUGCAGAGCGCUGUGGUCUGUAACCUCCCGUUAAGCAUGAAUGUGCACAGGGUUAGAUAAUCUGCUGUGUGGAGGCAGAGAGAGAAGGAGCCGGCAGAGUCUCGCAGACAGGAAGCUGGAAGAAACAACAAUCGCUGCAAAUAAAUCAAAGACUCUGAAGCCGCAGAGAAACCUGCAUUAUGGAGCGAGACAGCGUCUAGAGUGCAGGACGCUGAGAAUCUGCAGACAUGGACAUGUUUUCACAGUGAAAGUUGAGACAAUGUUUGAACAUUAACAUCUCAAAGACUUUUGUCAAGUUCAAAUCUGAAAAGGUUCAGUUCACUAAUAAAAACUUCACACUGUAAAAGACGAGCAGUCCCAAGAAACUGAACAAUUUUUCACUAGCUGGGCCCACGUCCUCAUUUUAGGUUUGACAGGUUUUAGUAGGUAAAGGUGAAUGCUUUGACAUGAAUUGAGCUGCGGCUUGGGGAAGGCCUCAAAGGGGACUGGCGAUGGCUCCUAGGCCUGGCAGAUCCCCAAAGAAGGCAUCCCCUGAAAACGGUAAUAACUGUGCAUUACGAGGGUCGACGACCUCAGUGAGAAUAAUUUGAUUUUCAAUCCAACUUAUUUAUAUGGCACCGAACCAUGCCUCGAGACCCUACAAUGAUGUCUAGAGGAAAAACCCAACAAUCCUAUGACCCCCUAUGAGCAAGUGCUUUGGCGACGGUAGGAAGGAAAAACUCCCUUUUAACAGGAAGAAACCUCCGGCAGAACCAGGCUCAGGGAGGGGCGGGGCCAUCUGCUGCGACCGGUUGGGGUGAGAGAAGGAGAACAGGACAGAGGCAAGCGUAGGGAGAGCGAACGCCGAGUGGCCUCGCCACCCAAAGAAAAGGAAAAUAACUAGUGGCAGGCUAGCGAAGCUGAACAGCUCUCGAUAAGAUAGUCGAAGAUUCCAUGGAGUGGAGUGGAUCAUCUCGGACAAUUAGGAAGGAAUGGCAGGAGAAGAGGUCGAAGGAAAUUGAGAACAACAGAAAUCUUAAUAGGUGAAUGAGGGGAACCCUUAAUCAGAAGCAACAUGGCUCGAUUUUGAACUGAAGUUCAAAAUGAGAAGUAUGCUGGAUUUCGAGAUUUGAGGUGAGGCUUGGAGGUUUGUAAGGCUUGCGUGAGCUUGUCUUUGAGUAAAAGAUGGAGAGGGGGUGCUUAGCUGGUUAAUUACUUCAGAUAAGGUAGUGAUAACUACUGUGCUUAUUUCUGAAAUGAACAGAAGUGACGGUGGCAGCUUGGGAAGGGUUGAUGAAUUGAAAGACUGAUUAGAGGAAAGUCGUCUUUUAUAAUAAUAAUAACCCCCAAAAUCGUCAGAGCAGAGGGCGAGUCCACUGAACUUCGUGGAAGAUGAUGAGCUGUUUAGACGUAGUCAGGACCGUGAGUCAUCUUAGAGAGCGGUCUCGAAUGAUUGUGUCGAGGGUGGAUGCUAGAUAAUGCUCGUGAAAGCACAUGAGAAGUGAACGGAUGCUAUGAAGAAUUAUGCACACGGCGCAGUUUGGAUGUCUUAACAGGAGCAAUAGAGGAAAGAAACUGGCAUCCCAGUGCCACGAAGGUUCGUCAGUGCUUUGUGUAGGCAGGAAAGAUGGCAGAGAAACUGGCAUCUCGGUGCCGGAACAGUUUGCUGCUACAUCUUGUGGAAGACUGGACGAAACAGAGAAACUGGCAUCCUGGUGAAAGUAAUGUUUUGGGUUUUUUGUGAGUGAUUGAUGGCAGAAGCUGCCAAUCCAGUAACGGAAGGGUAAGCUGUUUAGGGAACGGAACCUGGCAUCUCAGUGCAAAGAACGUUUUCUGCAUUUGCAAAUAAGGAAUAGAGACGGAGAACCUGGCGUUUUGGUGCUGAAAGGAACAUCUGCUGCUUAGCAUAUGAGGGCUAGAUGCGGAGAAGCUGGCGUCGCAGCGGUAGAAGGAUUCACUGCUGCUUUUGCUGUAAUAAAUGCAAAGAAACUGGCAACUCUAUGUUAGAAAGCUUGCUGCUGAGUAUGCGAAUGAGGGAUAAAGAAGAACCAGGCAACUCGGUGCCAAAGCUUGCUACUGUAUUUGCAUAGGAGGGAGGAAGAGGGAGGAAGAGACCUAGCAUCCUGGUGCCACGAAAGCAUGUUGCUAAAUUUUGCGAAGGAUGGAUGGAGGGAAUGGAAACUGGCAAGGCGUUGGUAGAAGGAUUGCGGCUGCUUUGUAAAUAAGGGAUAAAGGAAAACCUGGCAACCCAGUGCCUUUUUUUCCCCCAUGCACAGAAACUGGCCGUUUUGCAAAUGAGAAAUGAGAACUUGGUAUCGGGGCUAGAAGGAUUCAUGCUGCUUGUUGCCAUGAUGGAUGCAGAGAAACUGGCAGUUCGGUAGUAGAGAAGCUAGAUGCUGUAUUUCAAAUGGGGGAUGAAGGAAAACCUGGCAACCCGGUGCCGUUUAAUUUAAGUAAUUAAUUAAUUAAUUUUGUCUAUGCAGAGAACUGCCAACCUAAUGGUAGAAAAGCUGCUGCGGCUUUUGCGAAUGAGGGAUAAAGGAACCUGGCAACUUGGUGCCUAGGUUUGCUGCAGAAUUUUGCGAAGGAGGGAUGAGUGGCUGAGAGGCUGGCAACCCGGUGCCGACGUUUGCUGCGGAGUUUAGCAGAGGAGGGAUGAGUAGCCGAGAACCUGGCAACUCUGCGCCGAUGUUUUCUGCUGAGUUUUUUUUUUUUGUCUGUGUGUCUUCUUUCCUGAGAAACUGGCAGUUCGGUGGUAGAGAACAGAGCUGAGCUUCCCCCUGGUACCUGGUGCUGGCGGGUGGGUGGAGCUACGGAGUACGCUGUAGCUUUUGCUGUUGGAGCUGCGAUUUGUUUGGAAGUGUGGGUUCAGCACUGACGGCUAACUCGCCCGGCCUGUGAUCCGUUUCUGAGCAACAUGAGAGGAGCUGUGAGUUCUGCUGGCGGGCGACCUCGCUGGUUUUCGCUGAAGUGGCAGGCGGCCGGAGUUACUUCGUGACUGGAUUUAGCGGAGAUAAACCAACUGGAUGCAUGGACGUAGCAGACCCUAUGUCGGGUGGCGAGAAAACUGCUAGGAGGUCGUCAGCAUUUGGCUUUGGAAGCGCCACCGUGAUGUUCGGUGUGUUUCUGGGAUUGCCGGAGGAAAAGCGAUGGAAUGCAGAGCUUGAGUAGUUGUUCGUCUGAUGCGCUGAUGGACGAGAGGGCAAUUGUAGCGAAGGGUUCACAUCUGUUUUUGGACCUGGAUGCUGAAAGCUGUUGCUUGGUAACCACAUCACCUCAUCUCAGAGAAAUCAGAGAUUAGGAAGACUGGCAAAUCUCAUUAGGACACUGCACUCCUCAAGCAGCGCCCAAUCUGCUUGCAUGAUUACUCCAUAACGAGGGCGAGCCGUGAGGACGCAUGGCUCUCCAGGUGCAGCUGCAAGUCAUCAGCAGUCGUCAGAUUAAUGAGCGUUUCUUCCUCUCACACCACUGAAAGAUGUUUAAAAUUGCAGCUACACGCGACACAUGAGGAGGGAUUUAAAUGGCUCCUCGCUUUCCUGCGAGGAGCUGCGAGAACAAACACGGCGAGGUCCACGUGCAGCACACUGGAGCGCUACAGUCUGACACACGGAGGCCAGAGCUGCAGAGUAAAUCCAUCCAAUCAUUUCACUGCUUUACAAACUCCACCCACCUGACUCUGCAGACAGGAGGAGGAGUUUCGGGUCACCUGAGACUGACCUAUGACCUAUGAUGUACACUAGCAGUCAAAAGUUUGGAUACAGCUUCUCAUUUAAUGGUUUUUCUUUAUUUUCAUUAUUAUUUAUAUUGUAGAUUCUCACU